rnacentral:rRNA from 1 species
ACUCCUACGGGAGGCAGCAGUGGGGAAUAUUGGACAAUGGGCGCAAGCCUGAUCCAGCCAUGCCGCGUGAGUGAUGAAGGCCCUAGGGUUGUAAAGCUCUUUUGUGCGGGAAGAUAAUGACGGUACCGCAAGAAUAAGCCCCGGCUAACUUCGUGCCAGCAGCCGCGGUAAUACGAAGGGGGCUAGCGUUGCUCGGAAUCACUGGGCGUAAAGGGGUGCGUAGGCGGGUCUUUAAGUCAGGGGGUGAAAUCCUGGAGCUCAACUCCAGAACUGCCUUUGAUACUGAAGAUCUUGAGUUCGGGAGAGGUGAGUGGAACUGCGAGUGUAGAGGUGAAAUUCGUAGAUAUUCGCAAGAACACCAGUGGCGAAGGCGGCUCACUGGCCCGAUACUGACGCUGAGGCACGAAAGCGUGGGGAGCAAACAGGAUUAGAUACCCUGGUAGGAUAGCG